CCUAGGUUAUCAUCGGGAGCAUCUUUGAGGUCAUCUGGGCCGUCAUAAAACCUGGUACAUCCUUUGGAAUCAGCGUGUUACGAGCCCUCAGGUUAUUGCGUAUUUUCAAAGUCACAAAGUACUGGGCGUCUCUCAGGAAUCUGGUCGUCUCUCUUCUCAACUCCAUGAAAUCCAUCAUCAGCCUGUUGUUCCUCCUUUUCCUGUUUAUCGUCGUCUUUGCACUUUUAGGAAUGCAGCUCUUUGGCGGCCAGUUUAAUUUCGAUGAAGGGACUCCUCCUACCAACUUCGACACUUUUCCAGCAGCAAUAAUGACGGUGUUUCAGGUACAACCCUAACCCAGCCCCGCGCCAUGCAGGGCCACAGGAAAGCACCAGAAUCCAGAGCAGAGGGAGGAGGACC